rnacentral:lncRNA from 1 species
GCAUGUGCAGCAUCUGGGUUUGUGCUAAAAUCCAGUUUGGCACCAAAACCAAGCUCAACUCCAAGGAAUACUGUUGCCUUUUCUUCCAAGCAUGGAAAUAAUAUUUCAAGAAGGCUAGUGGUACGAGCAGCAGAGGAGGGACCGCCACCUCCACCACCACCACCACCAACACCAACACCGCCAGAGGCUUCUACUACCACCACCACCACUGCCCCCGCAGAAGGUGAAGCAAAGCCAGCUCCAAAGGCUGCCAAGCCACCUCCAAUUGGACCCAAGAGGGG